rnacentral:lncRNA from 1 species
GCCUUCUUCCUUUCGCCGAACCAAAGGUCUCCCUCUCUUCUUCCUCAAACACAAGAUUUCCCUCAAAAUUCCUCUCCCACCGACUCUCACACUCCAAAUCGCCCACUUAGGAACCAAGUUCCUCCCCUUCUCCUUCUUCAUUUGGAGUGAUUCGAGCUUACCCUAGACUCUACCCAUCUUCUCCAAAUCGGCACAUCACUUCUCCAAAAUCCUUAUCUUUCCACUAAAAACCCUUCAUCUCUCCCUCACAUUUGCUCUCCUAAGUUCCGUGCUAGUCCUGCCUGUGCAAAUGGCUCCCAAGAUGAAUCUUCCACAGAGGAAGAAAUCCGUUCGCGGGUUGGAGGAAAGUGUGCGCCAAAAGAGACUAGCAACUGAGAUCACUUCUAC